UCUGUGUGUGCACCUACAUGCACAUGUAACAAAGUGAUAAUUUCUAUUUCCUUAGAUGUUUCAAAAUGUAUCUUGAACAUAUGACAAAUAUUUAAUGUUUUCUGGGUGACUACAUUGAAGCCUACCACUCACUUGGGACAGAAAAGUCAUUUUUUGGUGUGUGAUUAUACUUGCUAUCUUAUGGUCACAACUUUUAAAACUACAUAGAAGCAUUAAUAUUUUUAUUUUUCCUUUAGAUCCUUCACUGAAUUCAACCCAGUCUACUCAACAGUUCACCAAGAGUCUUGCUAUCUCCAAUUUCAGGAUAUGCUUUCCAUCACCAAUACCCAGUCAGCUUUCAAAAGUCAGACUACAACUGAAUCAAAGAAUUACACAAGAAAAGGGAAACUGAGUCAUCCUUCAGCAACUCCAGGAACAAAUCAAGGUACAUAUAAUGAUGGGGUAGUAAAUGCUAAUACCAUCUAUCUCCUUCCCUUGUAUCCAUCCCUGUUUUUGUUCCCCUCUUUCCACUCUGGCUUCCUAUUCUCCCUUUUUGGCAAAAUAUCCACUAUCCUUGAAGAAAGCGAACCAGCAAACCUGCUAAUAUUAAAGCUUCAGUGACCCAAUAGG